GGCAGCAUGCCAGAGUUGGUUAAUGGGUGGGACUCCUACUAAAAUACGAGGCAUCUCAUGGGCUUUGCCUUCGCGGGUUCGAAUCCCGCUGCUGUCA